UGUGCUUGAAGAGUAUGAAUCCACCAAUACAUUAAGUGGGAUGAGAAGAUUUUUGUUAGGACACAUAACAGAGACAUGGGAGGAGUCCAACUUCAAUGUAGAGAGAGAUCAGUACGCACUUGGAAUUAUGACUUUGUCGCUGACGUUAAAAGACCAAUUUUCCAGUCACUGUAGCCACCCAGAUCCAGACUGUAUCCAGGUCAAAUGGUCACUGCAGGUACCCGGAUAUAGUCCGUACCCAGCCCAGAUAGUGGAUCAGCACCUAGAGAUGAUCUCUACAGCCCUGAAUGUCAGCGGAGACCAGGACAAAUAGAUGAGCGCCAGAGACUGAUCCCAUCUGAAGACCUUGUCACCUAGAUGGCGAUCCGGACAAGACCACAGGAACCAGAUGAGUUCUCUGCACAAACUUUGUUGCAAGUGAGAAUGUAUAUCUUGCUUGGCUGAAAACUGCAGAGAAACGCAUCUUGUCAUGCUGAAAACAAAAAAUGAGACUAUACUCUCUUCAAGGAGGUCCAAACACCAUUAGCAAAGACUGUUGUUGUCAUUAUAAACCUUAUGACAU